AUUGAACGCUGGCGGCAGGCCUAACACAUGCAAGUCGAGCGAGCGGCGGACGGGAGAGUAAUGCCUGGGAAUUGCCCAGUCGAGGGGGAUCACAGUUGGAAACGACUGCUAAUACCGCCACAGACUGUAUUGCACAGGUGGUAUUAGCUAGUUGGGGAGGUAAUGGCUCACCAAGGCGACGAUCCCUAGCUGGUCUGAGAGGAUGAUCAGCCACACGGGAACUGAGACACGGUCCAGACUCCUACGGGAGGCAGCAGUGGGGAAUAUUGCACAAUGGGCGAAACCCUGAUGCAGCCAUGCCGCGUGUGUGAAGAAGGCCUUCGGGUUGUAAAGCACUUUCAGCGAGGAGGCGUUACUCGCAGAAGAAGCACCGGCUAACUCCGUGCCAGCAGCCGCGGUAAUAC
rnacentral:rRNA from 1 species